rnacentral:rRNA from 1 species
GAACGCGAAGAACCUUACCUACUCUUGACAUCCAGAGAAUUUGGUAGAGAUAGUUUAGUGCCUUCGGGAACUCUGAGACAGGUGCUGCAUGGCUGUCGUCAGCUCGUGUUGUGAAAUGUUGGGUUAAGUCCCGCAACGAGCGCAACCCUUAUCCUUUGUUGCCAGCGCGUAAUGGUGGGAACUCAAAGGAGACUGCCGGUGAUAAACCGGAGGAAGGUGGGGAUGACGUCAAGUCAUCAUGGCCCUUACGAGUAGGGCUACACACGUGCUACAAUGGCAUAUACAAAGAGAAGCGAACUCGCGAGAGCAAGCGGACCUCAUAAAGUAUGUCGUAGUCCGGAUUGGAGUCUGCAACUCGACUCCAUGAAGUCGGAAUCGCUAGUAAUCGUAGAUCAGAAUGCUAUCGUCC